UGAAGGCUGAAAUUCGCCUUCAUGAAGCUGGAAUUGCUAGUAAUGGCAGGUCAGCAUACUGCCGUGAAUACGUUCCCGGGCCUUGUACACACCGCCCGUCACACCAUGAGAGUUGGGAAUACCCGAAGCCUGUGAGCUAACUUUUAGAGGCAGCAGUCGAAGGUAGAAUCAAUGAUUGGGGUGAAGUCGUAACAAGGUAUC
rnacentral:rRNA from 1 species